rnacentral:rRNA from 1 species
AUUGAACGCUGGCGGUAGGCCUAACACAUGCAAGUCGAGCGAGCGGCGGACGGGUGAGUAAUGUCUGUGAAACUGCCUGAUGGAGGGGGAUAACUACUGGAAACGGUAGCUAAUACCGCAUACCAUCCGAUGUUCCCAGAUGGGAUUGGCUAGUAGGUGGGGUAAAGGCUCACCUAGGCGACGAUCCCUAUCUGGUCUGAGAGGAUGACCAGCCACACUGGAACGGGGACACGGUCCAGAAUCCAACGGGAGGCAGCAGUGGGGAAUAGUGCACAAUGGGCGCAAGCCUGAUGCAGCCAUGCCGCGUGGGUGAAGAAGGCCUUCGGGUUGUAAAGCACUUUCAGCGGGGAGGCGUUACCCGCAGAAGAAGCACCGGCUAACUCCGUGCCAGCCGCCGCGGUAAUAC